GGCAAGCAAGCUACGGGUGAAACAAGUGUCUGAAACGGCCGUGAGCUUUAGGGAAGAUUUUAAUGCUCUUUGUGGCCUCCUGCCUUUCUGGCUUUUGGAGUUAAUGGUCGCAUUGUAUCACGAUUUCUUUGUCCUUCUGGUUACCUCAUGGAGAAAGAUGUGCAAAAAGAGCAAAUCUUCUCAUUCUGGGGAACAUAAAGCCUGGGGCUCCCUUGCCUCUUGCUGAAGAAACGAGGAGUCACCUUUCAUUCUGGCACCGGUGCUGCAGCAGCGCUUUCAUCCGCUCCAGCUAGCUAAAGGGGGAUCUGGAGUCGAGGUUGAGAGUGCGUCACUGUGCUUGGUUAUGCGCCUCUGUUGUUCUCGGCUGCUUUUUUCAGAUGGUUAACCAUCUGAAAAUUGCUGCUUUUGCUGAUUUCCACCCCCCCACCCCCCCCUAUUUAUCAUGAAGUGAAAUUUAUUGGAGCAUAUGAAGACAACCCCUUCAGGCAGUUCUGUGUGGAUUAAAUAAGUCACAGUGAGGCCUUGAAUUUUGGUUUCGGUUUUGUACUCUACUUCAGGCAGCUUAUUCUAACACAUCCCUUUCACUUUCCUAUUCUCUAAGUCGUGGUGUCUCAUGCAAGUCCAGUGUAGAAGUGAUUCUUUGAAACUGUCACCGUGCAGCCUGGCAGUCCUGCAGCCUGACAUCGCACGGACCCCUCGGGGGUCGCAGCGGCUGAAAGAGCCCACGGUUUGAACACUUGGUUUUCCCAAAAGCGAAGAGCAAAGGUGACCAGGUAACGCUGCAAGCCGCCUCAGAGCUGGGGCACCAAGGCUUAGUACAACCCUUCCUCUCCUUCCCUCCAGGGUCAACACAAUUGCUGCCCAGUUUAAGCAUCAGUUACUUAACAUCACCUCUAACGUCUCUGUGCUGGUAUUUGGGAAGCGUGUUGGAAAGUAUUGCUUUUUACUCUGCAGCACCAUCAGCAGUUUCUUACCGGUGCUGAGGCUUUGCUAGAACAGUUACUAACAGGUUGACUGUAGAAAGUCAUCUUGAUACUAAAGGGUAUUGCGUAACUUAAAUGCUUAAUUUACCAACAGCCAGUAUGCUUUUUCUCACAUGCGAAGUUUUGUGCUAAAGGCGUCACUGUUAGUAUCUUUUCUAUUUCUGAUUGCUUUUAUCUUUUAGUAUUUUAAAAUUGGAAAGUCAUCAGAAACCACCACGGGUGGAAGGAUGGGAACCCCAGCUCCAGCGGGGGGGGGCGGCAUCUGCUUGAACUCUGUCCCUUCAGCUGGGAGGCCGUUGCCUUCCAGAGAUGUCUUCAAGCAAAGAGUGGUUAUUAAUUACACUAAAUUCUGAGCAGGUUACUGACCUAGAAUUUCUGCAGUUUCUUUUGGCUUCCGUUCUGCUUGCUUAGCUUCUGAAGCAGUGACUCAUCUAAGCCAAAUGUUUUCUUCUGGGCUUUUUAACUUGGAACUGUUUAGAUUUUAAACUGACAGUUGCAAUUAAAGCUGGCUCUCGUGGUGCCGCCCUAGCUGUCAGGUACUAAGCAACAUUUAACUGAAUGUAAUGUUCUUUCCCAGCUCCAGGUCUAUCAGUGUCUUUCUGUAAUUCCUCAUCUCCCGUGACCUGCCUGCGGCUCUGCAAGGGGAGGGUUUUAGCUUCCCCUUAGGUGCGGUGGCACGCUUGUCUUUUUGGACUGUAAACAACCCAGGAAGACAACACUCGGACUUCUUUUUAUCUAUAUGCGUCUGCUGCAGGAAUAGAAUGGUAGAUAACGGACUUGUGUGCAGCUGUGGCAUUGCCCUGGCAAAGCGUUGCGGUAAUUACUAACGUUACAAGCAUAACAAAAUGAGCCUGAACGCUGGCUGUGUAAGGAGGGUGGAGAAACCGAACCAGCCCUCUGAAUGGAGACGCUGUCUCUUGGUUUGGAAAUGUUUGUCCUGACGAGCUCUUUUGUAGGGAGGAAGGAGAUCUCUGCCUGCUAGCGCCUGCCUCUCCCGGCAGUGACCGCGCUCGGUGCUCCCCUGCCUGCGGCUUUCCCAAGUGCUACUGCCCUUGUGCAAAGCGCGGGGCAGGAAGGUGAGACGGGGAGGCUGUCACUUCCCAGUGAUUCAUCGGCUCUGCUUGGGUCCGGUGGGAGCCCAAGUGUAUCCGGAUUGUGUUCGCUUUGGCUCAGCGCGUGAAGCUCUGCCAUGGGACGCUGAGAGCACUUCCUCCUGACCAGACUCUGUUUACAAGGCCCCGCCGCUUUUACAAGGCCCCAGUUGCUAACAGAAUUUAGAAGUUAAAAUUUCUCUUGACAAAAAUAAAUCUAAACAGAC